UCCCAAGUGGCUCAAUGGUAAAGAAUCAGCCUGCAAUGCAGGAGACAUGGGUUCGAAUCCUUUGUUGGGAA
rnacentral:tRNA from 1 species